AUGUCAUGGUGUGGACACUUCCUAAGUAAGUCAUUUAGGCGCUCCCAUGCUUCAUGAAAUGUUUCCCCAUUCCCUUGUGAAAACUCUCGAAUUAAGGUUCUCAUAGCAU